rnacentral:lncRNA from 1 species
AUGCCAAGAAAAGGUCAAAGGUCUCAGUCCCAGAAGCUUAGACGUCAGAAGGAGAAAGAACAGGUGAAUGUUUCUCAGAGCAGUGAGCAGGUAAAGGUGUGUGUUUCAGCUUUUCCCAGCACAGAAGUGCAGAGCAGUGUUCAGACAGCCACAGUGUCUUAUGCAGAUGUGGUAAAGAGAGGCGUUCCCUCAGUGUCUGUCCCAGAGCCUGAAGUUAUGCAGGUAAUCCAUAUUGAACCCCAGGUAAUUGUACAAACACAGCAUGAUGGAGAGACGGCCACAGUGUCUUAUGCAGAUGUGGUAAAGAGAGGUGUUCCCUUAGUGUCUGUCCCGAAGCCUGAAGUUAUGCAGGUAAUCCAGACUGAACCCCAGGUAACUGUAACACAGCAUGAUGGACAAGCUCCACGACAGUCUCAUGUACAGGUUACAAACAGUGAAAGUCGUCCACGAGUGAGUAGCAUCUGUGCGUCCCGAAGCCAGGCUUCUCCUAGGUAUGGAAAGUACCGUAAUCAGCAAUGCAUGGCUAAUAGUUUGGUUUUCCUGUCAUUCUUACACGAGGAUGAAUUCAUUACCAGAGCAGAUCUUAACCGUGUGUUGGACAAAGGCCAUGCCGUGUAUUCAGAUGCCAGACUGAGGUUUGUGAACAGCGUGUUUCUAGCCUGCGAUGAGCUUCCCACAGUGGUCACCAGCCGCAGACACGAGUAUCAAGUGGACAUGUCUCAGUUUGCUCGUUACGGCACAUUUGAUGGUACAGAUCACCUUCCGAGCCUUGAACAGGGACUACAGUGUUUGGUUUCAGACGUUCGCUACGCUUUGCUAGUCAUGGGAGGAACAGUCAUCGCUGUUUGCAGGCUGACUUCUGGUGAAUAUGCAUAUUUUGACCCUCACCCACGUAAGUCUACAGGUAUGCCCAUGUCGCUGGGUGUAAGUGGUGGAACUGCAGUUACGUUAAGAUUCACAUGUCUCAACGACAUGAUUGACAGGAUCAAACGUUUGUACCGAAUGUUUAGCAUCGCCCCAUCCUGCACUUAUGAGCUACAGCCUGUCGAGUUUCAUAGUGAAUACGCUGCUGACCAAAGAGAUGCUGAUGAAAACAGACAAACAGCUACAACUGUUCCAGCACCAGCUUUAAAUGAAACUGUUCAUGAAAUAAACUCCCAAACAUCUACUGACCAGACACAGAAGACUGUGAGAGACACUUUAACCACUGAAGUGAUGUCAUCCAGAGUGGAUUAUUCAAAUAAGACAGCUGCUACUGAAAACAACCAUCUUCCUUCUGAGUAUUUAGAAAAAGGAACAUCUUCUGUGAGAGAAACGCAGGUAACAUCAGAUUCUACUCCUCAGAAUGAUUCAAACAUUGCCUCCUGUUUAACUAAGACAACAGAGGAACUUUCACAAAAACUGCUGAAACGUAAUAAACAGGAAAGAAGAAAAAUAAGGAGAAGAUUGUUAGUCCAAGAAAAACUACCACAGAGAAAGGAAAAUCAGAAAAAGAAAGAAAGGCAGAUGUACACUUUUGAUGAAAGGUUUAAGGCAAAGAAAAAAGGUUGUAGUAGAAAGUCUAAUGAUCCUGAUCACCGACAGAAGAAGAGUGUGUACAAAAAAUAUCUGUAUAAACUAAAUGCUACAUAUAGAGAGAAACAGAGAGAACAUUUCAGAAGUACCUAUAGAGAAAGUGCUCAAAUAAGAGAGAAAAAAAGAGAACGUGUCAUAAGGAUGUAUAAAGACGAUUCUUUAUUCAGAGAAAAGCAGAAGGAACAGAUAACAAGAACAUAUAGAGACUCUCCCGUGUUCCGAGAAAAGCAGAAGGAACGUAUGAGAAAAACAUAUAAAGAAUCUUAUAGACAAUCUCCUAUGUUUAGAGAACAGCAGAAGGAACGUAUAAGAAGCAAUUACAGAACUUGUGCUGGAUUCAGAGAGAAACAUAAAGCUUACAUGAGGUCAUAUGUAUAUAGUCUAUAUAAAGAAAGCGAAGAAUUUAAACAGAAAAAACAAUCUUACAUGACUAGGCGUUAUGGAGAAGAGAGACAAUUUCAGCAACAGCACAAAGAGAAUAUGAGAGAACGAAUGAGAGUAAAAUAUUGGAAUAGUUUCUCUUUUAGACAGAUGCAUAAUAUUAGCUGUGCAAUGAACAUAAAACGAAAAUAUCGCCAGAUGCAUCGACCAGCUGAGAGUUUACAGUGUCAUCCAGAUAACACUUUAAUGAAUGAGGCCAUAUCUCGUUUCAGAUCAAACAUUAAGUCAGCACCAUCUUAUGUUUGUACUGUUUGUCUAAAAGCUUCUUUUCCUAAUCAGGUGAAAAUCUGCAAAAGAGAAAAUUACUCAAAACACCAAACUGUAGCUCAGCAGUGUCUAACUGGUAAAUUUGUUCAUGUGUGUGAUGAAGCAUGUCAUGAUCACUGCAGCUUUCCUGUUGAGAGAAAAAAGGAGUAUAUCUGUCACACAUGUCACAGUUCCCUCAAAAGUGGAUGCAUGCCCAGGCUUGCUGCUGUCAAUGGUUUAGAACUGCAGGAUAUUCCAGCUGAACUGUGUGAUCUCAACAUUCUGGAGAGACAUCUGAUUGCCAAAUGCAUACCAUUUGCUAAGAUUAUUCCUCUUCCAAAGGGGAGACAGAGACUCAUACGUGGUAAUGUCGUGUGUGUACCAUCUGAGGUCCAACAAACAGUUGAAUGUUUACCCAGACUCAGAAGCCAUUCACAGAUAAUGAGGGUGAAAUUGAAAAGACGACUGUGCUACAAAGGCCAUCAGCUGUUCCAGACUGUCACCUGGUCUAAACUCAUUCAAGCCCUGCGUAAACUGAAACAAAUUCAUCCACAGUACACCGAUAUUGUUAUCAGAGAUGAUGCAUUGCUUUGUGAUCCAACAUUACCUGAUGAUGACAGCAGUGAUGAAGCCAGCAUGGCAAGUGAUGAUUAUGAUGAAGCAGAUUUAAUGGAAAUUGACAACUAUGAAAAAGAUGCCCUUUUGUGCGAAAGUGAGUCUGAAAGUGAACAAGCUAUUAAUAUGCAAUCCUGUGAUGAACAACCAGAGGAACAAAAUCCAGAUGAACCAGAAAGUGAUUUGAACAAUGGAGGUUUUGCUCUAGAAAGUUGUCUGCAGCCUGUAGACAUUUCAGAAGAGAUUCUCUGUUUCACUGAUAACACAUAUUGUGUGGCUCCUGCAGAAAGAAACAAUCCUGUUAGCUUCUUCAGAACUCCUCAUUUGGAAGCCAUGGCAUUUCCUGUGCAGUUUCCUACUGGUCAGAAUACACUGGAUGAAAAGAGACGUCUCAAGCUCACACCGAGUGCUUACUUCAAGUCAAGGCUUUUCAACAUUGAUGCAAGAUUUGCUAAAGAUACAAAUUACCUGUUUUUCUCACAGUUUGUCACUGAAAUACAUUUGGCUAAUUCCAGCAUGACAAUACAGCUAAGGAAAGGUAAAACUAUGACGAAAGAUGGACGCAAAAUCACAUCAGGAAUGUUACAAAGUAAGACAGAAGUAGAGAAGCUGGUAAGAAAUAAAGAUGCAAUCAGAUUUAUGCAGCCACUCAGAGGAACUCCAGCUUACUGGCAGAAAACUACCAGAGAUCUAUUCAGUAUGGUUCGCCAAAUAGGAACACCUCAGUUCUUUGUCACUUUCUCUGCUGCUGAGAUGAGAUGGCCGGAAGUGAUUCAAGCAAUAAAGAGACAGCAAGGUGAAGAGGUUGAUUUUGAAGCCCUGGACUGGUCAGAAAAGUGUGAAAUUCUAAGAUCAAAUCCAGUAACCACCAUGCGAAUGUUUGAUAAACGUGUUGAGGCUUUGUUCAGAGAUUUGCUUUUUUCUCCUGCACAGCCCCUUGGUGAGAUCAUUGAUUACUUUUACAGAGUUGAGUUCCAGCACAGAGGUAGUCCACAUAUACACAUGUUGCUGUGGAUUCGAGAAAAGGUAGAAGUAGAUGUGGAUGAUGACCAAACUGUCUGUGACUUUGUGGACAGAUACAUCUCAGCUCAGCUCCCUGAUCCAGAAAAACAACCUGAACUGCACAAAAAAGUCACUGAACUACAAAAGCACAGCAAAAACCACACAAAGACAUGCUUUAAGAGUGUGAACUCUGGUUGUAGAUUUGGGUUUCCAAAACCACCAUCCACAAGAACAAUGAUUGUGAGACAGGAUGAGGAUUCAGACACUGAAGCUGCAAAAGCCAAACUCAGACCUUUGUUGAACCUGCUGAAAGAACCUGAAGCUGCUUCCCUCACCAUAGAGCAGAUUCUGUCACGAUGCAACUUGACAAUGAAUGAGUAUGAACAAUGCCUCCAAGACAUAAACAAGAAAACAGCUCUUAUUCUGAAACGUGACCCAAAUGAGUGUUGGAUCAACAAUUACAACCCAGACCUGCUUGAAGCCUGGAACUCUAAUUUAGAUGUCUCAUUAAUUUUGAAUGCCUAUUCAUGUAUAGAAUACCUCUGUAAAUAUAUAACGAAGAAAGAAUCUGGCCUCUCUGAAUACCUGAAGACAGUUAUUGAUAACUCUGAUAAGAACACCGUCAAUGAAUGUGAUGAAAUGAGAGCUGUGAUGCAGGCUUACUCAAAAAAGAGAGAAAUCAGCGCACAGGAGUGUGUGACUCGAGUCUGUGGCCUAAAAAUGAAAAAGUGUUCCCGCAGUGUUGUAUUUGUACCAACAGAUGAUAACCCAGUAAAAAUGAGUCGCCCCAUGAGCUACCUGGAAAGCACAACACACGACAGUUGUAAUAUUUGGAUGACAAGUUUGAGUGAUAAAUACAAAUCCAGACCUGAGACACCAGAAUAUGAGGAAAUGUCACUGGCUGAUUUUGCUGCCUUGUGCAGGUUGGUGAGUGGUCCAAAUGAAGGAAAAGAUGUGCUUCCUCUUCUAAACCAGCUUGGAUUUGUACAAAUGCGAAAGAAUGAUAAACCAGCUAUAAUCAGGUAUUACCACUGCUCACAAGAAAAAGAUCCUGAGCAAUAUUAUGGUCGACUGUUGAGACUUUACCUUCCACACAGAUCAGAGCAGGAACUGAAACCACAAGGGUUCCAAACCUAUCAGUCCUUCUACAACUCGGGUUUUGUACGACUUCCAUGUUCAGACCACAGUGAGUCUGUGAAAAGGGUUGUGAAAAGAAAUAAAGACAAGUAUGAGAAGAACUCUGAGGAUAUUGAGAGUGCACUGGAAGAGUUUGAACAAAAUAGGGAUGUUGUGAUCAAUGAAUGGUGUAAUCUGGCUCCUGAAUCUGAAGUUGUGAGGUUGCAAUGUGAUGAGAAUCUUCCUGAGAGACAUUCUGAUGAUGAGAACGAACAGGAGAAUGUUCCCGACUACAGUCGUCAGUCUGAUGCUGUAACAGAGAUCAGAGCCAUCAGAGAACAACCUGCAGUAGAUCCAGCCGUGGUAAGUGUAAUGUAUCAGAAUCUGAACCAGAAGCAGGCCUGCGUGUUCUAUGCCAUUAGAGACUGGUGUAUUCAGCGAGUUUGUGGUUUGAACCCAGAUCCAUUUUUCUUCUAUAUCAAUGGUGGUGCAGGAACUGGUAAGUCACAUCUGAUUAAGUGUAUUCACUCUGAAGCAUCAAAGAUCCUGAGCAGACUGCCUGCUAAUGCAGAAGAAGCUGACAUAUCAAAUCCAACUGUUUUACUGACUUCGUUUACCGGUACAGCAGCUUUUUCUAUCAGUGGCUCUACAUUACAUUCUCUACUGAAACUACCCAGGAGUCUGAAACCACCCAUUCAAGGACUUGGUAAUCAACUGGAUGAAGUCAGAUCUGAGCUUAUAAAUGCUGAAAUUAUUGUUAUUGAUGAGAUUUCAAUGGUUUCAAAACCCCUUUUGCUUAUGUGGAUGCAAGACUGA